rnacentral:rRNA from 1 species
UACGUAGGGUGCGAGCGUGUCCGGAAUUACUGGGCGUAAAGAGCUCGUAGGCGGUUUGUCGCGUCUGCUGUGAAAACCUAAGGCUCAACCUUGGGCUUGCAGUGGGUACGGGCAGACUAGAGUGCGGUAGGGGUGACUGGAAUUCCUGGUGUAGCGGUGGAAUGCGUAGAGAUCCGGAAGAACACCGGUGGCGAAGGCGGGGUCUCUGGGCAGUAACUGACGCUGAGGAGCGAAAGCGUGGGGAGCGAACAGG